GACGAACGCUGGCGGCGUGCUUAACACAUGCAAGUCGAACGGAAAGGCCCUGCUUUUGUGGGGUGCUCGAGUGGCGAACGGGUGAGUAACACGUGAGUAACCUGCCCUUGACUUUGGGAUAACUUCAGGAAACUGGGGCUAAUACCGGAUAGGAGCUCCUGCUGCAUGGUGGGGGUUGGAAAGUUUCGGCGGUUGGGGAUGGACUCGCGGCUUAUCAGCUUGUUGGUGGGGUAGUGGCUUACCAAGGCUUUGACGGGUAGCCGGCCUGAGAGGGUGACCGGCAAAAUGGGGACGGGGAUCCGGCCCAGAUCCUUACGGGAGGAAGCAGGGGGGAAUAUGGAACAAGGGGCGGAAGCUGGAGGCAGAAACGCCGCGUGCGGGAGGACGGCCUUCGGGUGGUAAACCGCUUUCGCCUGUGACGAAGCGUGAGUGACGGUAAUGGGUAAAGAAGCACCGGCUAACUACGU
rnacentral:rRNA from 1 species